CCGGGGAUGACAGGGCGCUGCGCGGAGUCCGCUGGGUGUGAUCAAGUGGCUGGAAUCCACUGGAAAGUGUUCAGGAUUCUUCCCUUGGUUUCUGUGGGCUGCCACGUCUACCCUGCCUUCAAGCGGCCACUUUUCCAGCUUGCAGUAUGUCUGAUGUAGUCUUCGAAUUAUCUCUUUCUAGAAAUCUUGAGAGAACAAUUCAAAAAUAAUUUUCCAUUCUAUUAUGAUUUGAACUUGUACUUUGCUUUUAAACAUCAUGAAUGUAAAGAGUUGGCUGGAAAAUUAUCUAAGACAAAGUCACAUUUUGCUGAAGUGAUUUGUACCAGGUGACUGCGGCAGAAAAGUCAAUGCCUGUGACUUUCUAGUCUCUUAAAUAAGUAGUGAAUUGACUGUGCAGCAACUUAAAUUUCAAACAAUAUAUCUGCAAUCAAGACCA